rnacentral:lncRNA from 1 species
GGGAAGGAGGCCACUGGUGAAGCUGUACCACCCUGUAACAACAUCAACAAACGGCGACCGAGAUUGAGUGUGCUGAUGGCCGCGAGGCCGCAAAAGUAUUGAUGUCAUUGGGCGGCCCGGAUCUUGGCUGUCCGUAAAUUGCUGUACGGACAAUCACCAACCGCCACGUAAGGACUUCGCUACCCAACCUUGCUUUCAAGCCUUCACAUACCAUAU